CACGUAGGGGGCAAGCGUUGUCCGGAUUUAUUGGGCGUAAAGAGCUCGUAGGUGGUUCGGUAAGUCGGGUGUGAAACCUCCAGGCUCAACCUGGAGACGCCACCCGAUACUGCUGUGACUGGAGUCCGGUAGGGGAGCGUGGGAAUUCCUGGUGUAGCGGUGAAAUGCGCAGAUAUCAGGAAGAACACCAAUGGCGAAGGCAGCUCUCUGGGACGGUACUGACACUGAGACGCGAAAGCGUGGGGAGCGAACAGG
rnacentral:rRNA from 1 species